GGCGUCAUAACGUUGUUUCUCUCUUAAGAACAUCGUCAGCGGAGACAUGGUUUGAGGUCCUGCGAUGUGGUUCUCUGGUGCGAUGUGGUUGUUGAUGAGAGCGGAUCUUCAUGAACGCUAUGUACACAGCUGCCAGUUAGCCCAAGAUGAUUUCUUUCUUGGGUCCAACCAAAUCCUGCUACCCACUUGCCGUCUCUUCUUAGGCAUUUAAGGAUGGUUGAUGCGUUGACAAGGAAGUUCGACCGAAGUUGUUGCUCUUUGGGAUAACCGAUGGUGGUCGAGACGCGGCUUGUAGAUUGUUUAGGGCAGGUUCCUUUGUAUUGUCUCUGUAUUAGUUGUGGUGGCUAAUCUUUUGAUUAGCUUGGUAUGGAGUUUUGCUGCAAUUGUUGUUUGUAAUAAGUUGUAAUCUUUUAUACUUAUUUUUUGUCUUCUAUAAAAAUAUGAUAUGUCAAA
rnacentral:lncRNA from 1 species